GCAUAGCGACUAUCGUGGCAUAUCAAUAAGCGGAGGAAAAGAAACUAACUAGGAUUCCCUCAGUAACGGCGAGUGAAGCGGGAAGAGCUCAAAUUUGAAAUCUUCAAGGUUUUACCUUGACGAAUUGUAGUUUAAAGAAGUGUUUUCUGUUGGAAUUUUGGUAAAAGUUCUUUGGAAAAAGACAUCAAAGAGGGUGAGAAUCCCGUAUUUGACCAUUAUUUCCAGCUUUGUGAUACACUUUCAAAGAGUCGGAUUGUUUGGGAAUGCAGUCCAAAAUGGGUGGUAAAUUUCAUCUAAAGCUAAAUAUUGGCGAGAGACCGAUAGCGAACAAGUACCGUGAGGGAAAGAUGAAAAGAACUUUGAAAAGAGAGUUAAACAGUACGUGAAAUUGUCAAAAGGGAAGCGUUUGACACCAGUGUUGUUUUCUCGAAAAUCAAUUAAAAAAGAUUGGAUUUUGUGUUGUAUAGACUUCAUCAGCUUUCUGCACUCUUUUCUUGUCUUUUUUAAUGCACUUUUCGUUUAACAAGUCAACAUCAAUUUCUUUUGUUGUAAAAGGGUUAUUGGAAGGUGGCUUUCUUUUCGGAGAAAGCGUUUAUAGCCUUUAACCUCUGCAAUCGGAGAGAUUGAGGUCUGCAGCGUAGAUCCUUCGGGGUUAGAUACAUUUGUGCUAAGUUAUGGCUUUUCAUAGACAACUUGUUGACUAUGUUAAGUCUUGUAGCUUACUCGCUUAUGCUAUUUUACCUACGCUUAGGAUGUUGACGAGACUGUCGAUCUCAUACAUGACUCUGUGCAUAUCAAUAAGCGGAGGAAAAGCGGAUCAUAUCUGCAUACCUACGCUUAGGAUGUUGACGAGACUGUCGAUCUC
rnacentral:rRNA from 1 species